GAGAGGCAAAAGGAUGCAACUCGUCAGACAGCUACUGGACUCGGAGUCGCGGGGAGCAAAGCCAGGCUGGCGUCUCCCGCUCGCGCAGACCUCUUAAGUAGCCGCCGACUGUCCACACGGCGCGCCGCGGGAAGCAAGUCGGCGCGGAGUCCUGCAGCAAAGACGGCGUGGGGAAAACACGGCGGCGGAGCCUCAACCCGAUCGCUGGCCGGCAGCCAUGGAGACGUCCUCGAUCAAGCUCUUCAUUAUUGGAGCAGCGCUGACUGUGGUCGCGGUCCUGUUCAGAAUGGCGGACUCCGUCGGCGGGCUCAUGUAUGCCCAGGGUGAAAGCUAUACCGCGGAGCCGGGGCAGCAGACGGAGGGACGGCUCUUCUCGAGCGGUCGUCGAGCGAGAGAGACCAUCACUAGACACGCCGGCUCGUAAGGGAGACCCCUCUCGCUCCAGACAUGCUGGAUGGACCCCUUUCCUCGGACCACUGCACUGCUGAUUCCCACCCCGGAAGCGGAUUCCAAGCUGUCGUGAUGAUGCGACGUUAUGAUAACGGGCAUUCUGCGUGCCCCCCCCCCCCAGGGCGAACUGUCAGUGGCUUCUGCGUUUGCGCUGGUUCUGUUGCUGGAAACUGCGAUCACUGUACCGGCCAGCUGAAGUCGCGCUUCAGUCUCAGGUUGUCCAAGGCUGUUUCGAAACUAGUUUAUGCAAAUGGCAGCUAUCUUAAGGUAAACGUAAUUUGACUAUUACUGACACGUGUGUCACACUGAGCAUGAGAAAACCGUGUGUCUUGAUGAGAGCAAAACAUGUAUUUGCAAUGUAUGAUAAAUGUAAUGACGUGAAUAAAGACUAUGACUGUGCAUUUUA